UAAAUUCUUUAUAAUUUAAAAAAUUUCAAGCUAUUUUAGAAGAUAAAAUUUAUUUAAUAAGUUAUUAUUAUUGAGAUUUAGAUAAAGCUCUAGUAAAUUUUGUGCCAGCAACAGCGGUUAUACAAAAAGAGAUUUUUUUGCAAUAAUAAUUUAGUUUUAAGCUAUAAAAUUAUUAUAGUUAUAAUAAGGUGAAAUUUUUAUAAUUAAGCAAAAACUAAAAAAAAUGUAAAUUCUAUAAUAAACUAGGAUUAGAUACCCUACUAUUCAGAGAUUAAUAUUGUUAGUAUAUAUAAUAUAUGAAAACAAAAAAUUAUGGCGGUAUUUUAAGCUUUUCAGAGGAAUUUGCUCUUUAAUGGAUAAAACACCUAAAUCUUACUAGAAUUAGUUAAACAGUUUGUAUACCACUAUUUAAAUAAUAAAUUAUAAUUAUUAUUUAAUUUUAAAAAAAUUAAAAAAAAUUAAGUCAAGGUGCAGCAAAAAUUUUAGAAUGAAGUGAAUUACAUUUCUUUUAAGAAAAUUAAAUUAUUAAAUAAAAAAUUAGGAUUUGAAAGUAAAAUUUUAAUAGAAUGAAAAUUUGAAUAAAGCUCUAAAAUAUGUACAUAUCGCCCGUCGCUCUUCUAUGAAGAUAAGUCGUAACAAAGUUAAAAUACUGGAAAGUGUUUUAAAAAUGAA
rnacentral:ncRNA from 1 species